rnacentral:ncRNA from 2 species
CUCUUAUAAAGAGAGGUCGAGGGACUGGCCCUAUGACACCUCGGCAACCUAUCCCACCGAUAUGGUGCCAAAUCCAGCGGAAAUCAAUUCCGACAGAUAAGAG